UUUCAAGAAGACUUGUACAAGGGAGGCCUGCAUCAUGGAACACAAACUCCCAAACACACAUGACUUCUCCUGAUUCUUCUCACAGCGAGAGCCACGCAUUUCAAGAAGACUUGUACAAGGGAGGCCUGCAUCAUGGAACACAAACUCCCAAACACACAUGACUUCUCCUGAUUCUUCUCACAGCGAGAGCCACGCAUUUCAAGAAGACUUGUACAAGGGAGGCCUGCAUCAUGGAACACAAACUCCCAAACACACAUGACUUCUCCUGAUUCUUCUGUGAGUAGCCAAAAAGGAAAUUUGUCAGGAAGCACUCUUUAAUUUUACCGCUUCUCCUCAACAUGAAUUGAUUAUGAUAUUAUGUUGUAGCACAGCGAGAGCCACGCAUUUCAAGAAGACUUGUACAAGGGAGGCCUGCAUCAUGGAACACAAACUCCCAAACACACAUGACUUCUCCUGAUUCUUCUGUGAGUAGCCAAGAAGGAAAUUUGUCAGGAAGCACUCUUUAAUUUUACCGCUUCUCCUCAACAUGAAUUGAUUAUGAUAUUAUGUUGUAGCACAGCGAGAGCCACGCAUUUCAAGAAGACUUGUACAAGGGAGGCCUGCAUCAUGGAACACAAACUCCCAAACACACAUGACUUCUCCUGAUUCUUCUGUGAGUAGCCAAGAAGGAAAUUUGUCAGGAAGCACUCUUUAAUCUUACCGCUUCUCCUCAACACCUCCUUCAUGUUUUUCUACUAUGUUCAUGGGUCUUGCCUGUGGUUCUACAAGCAUCCAGUCAUGCAGACAAAUAACACCUUAGCCUUUAACUGUCGGAAGCUGUCCCUCUGCGAGGCCUCAUAGUAUACAGUCUGUUUUCUGUUCUCAUUUAUUUAUUUAUUUGUUGUUGAUUCAUUUAUUUGUCUAUAGACACUGCUUUGAACUUAGAAGUUUUCACUGUUUUGAGUUGCACAAUUGUUGGCCUUUCUAUAUUUCUUUGCCUUAAAUUAUGUUUAUUAUGUUUUGUGUUUCCAAU